GACAGAGGUGCCGAGCGUUAGGCGGAAUCACUGGGCUUAAAGCGUGUGUAGGCGGGUCGUUAAGUGUCUUGUGAAAUCCCACCGCUCAACGGUGGAACUGCUGGGCAUACUGGCGAUCUUGAGCCACCUAGGGGCAGACGGAACAAGCGGUGGAGCGGUGGAAUGCGCAGAUAUCAGGAGGAACACCAAUAGCGAAGGCAGCUCGCUGGGACGUUACUGACACUGAGGCGCGAAAGCGUGGGGAGCGAACAGG
rnacentral:rRNA from 1 species